GAUGAAGAACGUAGCGAAAUGCGAUAAGUAAUGUGAAUUGCAGAAUUCAGUGAAUCAUCGAAUCUUUGAACGCACAUUGCGCCCGCUAGUAUUCUGGCGGGCAUGCCUGUCCGAGCGUCAUUUCAACCCUCAAGCCCCCGGGCUUGGUGUUGGGGAUCGGCGAGCCUCCGCGCCCGCCGUCCCCUAAAUCUAGUGGCGGUCUCGCUGUAGCUUCCUCUGCGUAGUAGCACACCUCGCACUGGGAAACAGCGCGGCCACGCCGUUAAACCCCCAACUUCUGAACGUUUGACCUCGGAUCAGGUAGGAAUACCCGCUGAACUUAAGCAUAUCAAUAAGCG
rnacentral:misc_RNA from 1 species